rnacentral:lncRNA from 1 species
UGUGAUUUGUAGGGAUUAAGGAGCUGAACCCUUUGAACACCCAUACCCUCUUAGAAAUAUACACUAUUUUUUUUUCAAGAGAUGCGGCCGCCUACCCAUGACUGUGUAACCGGCUUUUGUAGCAAAUUCUAUUUGUUCUUCGCCGCUUUGGGUUGUGGGUAGGUCCGCCACUGUACCCAUCUGACUAGUCUUAAAACGUAAUCGUUAAUAAGCGAGAAAUCACACCUGAAACGUUGACAAAAAGGUGAUGAUGCGAUUCCAGGAGAUCAACAUGAUGCACAACGGAUAACAUGGAGGCACUCAUCGGCCAAUACAUCGCUACCGGAAUAUUCCUCCUGUUAGCGACGUCAAACGGCCAGCCCAUAGUUCCAUCAGCUAUGAUGAGUGUCACCGGAAACUCAGUCUGAUCAAGCACCUCCACAAAAGGACCUUCCAUUUUGGUAUUUACAGCAGUGAGGAAGCCUACCACAUCGGAUCCACGGUUGAGUUCGGACGGUAGGACGUUAGGAAUGGUGGCGAACCGGAUGUUAUCUUGCUCCGGAUCAGGAUUGAGAAACCCGAGCCACUCCUCGGUGACAACGACGGUGAACAUGGUGGUGCAACUGUGAGAAGAGAGUAUAUUGCAGAGGUUCAACAUAGGAUUUAUAUGGCCUCUGCCCGGAAACGGAACCACCAUCACUUGAUUCAUGUUUUGUUUCCGGUUAAUGUGAGAACCGUCGAUGAUUGGAAUGGUUUAUACUGAUAAUUUCAAAGUUGGACUUGCAAUUGUGAUAUUUUAUAUUGUUCGUGACUAAACUAAUGGUUAACGUUCUACUCCUUUUUAUUACAAUAUUGUGCAUAAAUGGUUGAUGUCUAUUCCUUUUAUUAAAGUAUGAAAAAGUUCUUUUCGUUUUCAUUAAAAUAAUCGUCAAAUCCUAUGAGCACUUGACGAAAUCGCAUGAAAUUAUUUUUUUUUUUUUAUUUUGUUUCUUCUUACCAUUAUUAUAUGAUAUGAAAUAUAGUUUUAACAACUUUGUUCUACUGGUGGUGUUAUCACAUUAG